AAUACUCAGCCUAACCCAAUUACCCUAAUCAUAAAAAUUACAAAUAAUUUAAUAAAAAAUAAAAAUAUAAAACUACUCUAAAACUAAAACAGACGACAGAAAUUUCAAAUACCCAAAAUUCCUAAGACCAAACCUUGAAAUCCCUAAUUGAAAUCCCAAAAUCCCUAUUGUCACUACCAGGCCAGCCACCUUCGUGAAUCGUCUGGCGUCUACCAGGUCACCUUCACCGGCGAGUUGAGAUUUGUUCACAAAUCCAUGGCUUCUCGAUUAUUCGCGACUGCUGCAGAGAAAAUAGGGCAACCGGCUUUGAGGCGGCAAGUUCUGACGUUGACUGAUGCAGCAGCCUCCAGAAUACAUCACCUUCUUCAACAGCGCCAAAGAUCGUUCCUUCGAUUGGGUGUUAAGGCUCGUGGAUGUAAUGGUUUAUCUUACACCCUCAAUUACGCCGAUGAGAAAGGAAAGUUUGAUGAAUUAGUUGAGGACAAGGGCGUUAAAAUACUAAUUGAUCCAAAAGCUUUGAUGCAUGUGAUUGGGACCAAGAUGGAUUUUGUAGAUGAUAAACUCAGGUCUGAGUUUAUUUUUAUCAACCCAAACUCCAAAGGGCAAUGUGGAUGUGGCGAAUCUUUCAUGACAACAGCUGGUAGCACAGCUAAGCAGGGUAGUAAUUGAGGAUUUCAACACCCUUGUAAUAAGAUAAGAUUUUAACUAACCUUCAUGAUUCCAGGAUGCUUGCUUUCCUAAUUCACCACUCAAAAUAAGCUACAAGGAAAAAUGUUUCCAUGUCAUUUAUAGGAGUUGCUGCCAACUGAUUGUAUUAGCAUAGGUUCAGAUAUUUCUGUAUCGCAGAUGUUGUUUUCUAAUUGUUUUGUCUAUACCAUAUUAUGUUACAUAAGUUAUUUUGCAAGUAUGUCAUUUACAUCUGUACUUUUACUUUUCUUUUCUUUUGCUGGUCCAAAUGGAUGAAAUAAAAAGGGGGGUUGGUUGUAUGGAGGGAGAGGCCAUGGAUUUGGCAUAUUAAAUAGUUGUUUCUUCAUUUUAAGAAGCUUGAGAGGUGGGAGAGUGGUAAAUGCGAGAAAGUUGUGCUCGUAACAGCAAUUUGGGGAAGAAUUCGGAUUGGUCAUUACACAAUCCUAAAGAGAUGAAUGAUGUCUGCAAUAGGCUUACAGCAAGGUUGGGGCUCGAGGGAUAACGCUAAAUAUAGCGAAGAGUUGGGAAGCAAUAAAGGUGAAAAGAGAGAAAACUGCAUAUGUUACAAGUAGGUAGUAAACAAAAUGGAUUGUUAGGGUAUAUGGCAUACUUGGAUCUAGAGAUGUUUUACUACUUGGGGCUACCUUUGUAGAAAUAAGAAAUCAGCAGAGUUUCUUGGAAUUGAAGUUGCAGUUUCAAACUGUAUUAGCUUUUAUGUAGUACAACAUCAAUAUCAAUGUCCAUCGUCUUAGGUACUUUUUUAUUUGUUUACUUUUGUACAUUGGGUUGAAUGUUAGUGGUAUACAUUUAAGCUAAA